rnacentral:tRNA from 1 species
AGGCCUAUAGUGUAAUGGUAACACUCCGGAUUUUGAUUCCGUCAUUCCAGGUUCGAGCCCUGGUAGGCCUACCA